GGAAAAGAAAACAUUAAAUGAAAAUGUGAGCGGAUGGAGGCUGCUGCGAGGAGCGCUGGGCUGCUGCGCCAGUGCCCUCUCCUGGGCAGAGGGAGCCGAGCAGAGCCGGGCUGGGUGACAAGCAUGAAGCCCUACACUGAUCCGGAUGGAGAUGAACACCACCCAACCCGAAACGCCCCGAGCUCCCGAUCGGAGCGAUGCAUCGCGGCGGAGGUAGCAGCCAAUGGAAGAGGAGCUGCCUGGUUAUCAUCGUUAGUAUUGAGAAGCGUCAUGCACUGCUCGGGAAGACUUUUUGGGAGCGGGCAGAGACAUCGCUCCCCUCCGAACGAGUUGUCUGCUAGAGCCGGAUUUUGGCAAACGGCGCCAGGUUUCCCUGGUUCAAUUUGCACACGGGAUGACAAAUGAAUAUCAUAGUAUAUAUUCCGCACACACACCCCUCUCUCCCCCCCCCCCCUCCUUCCCCUCCCCAUCCUCGAAGUACCCGAGAAUAAGCAAUGAAAACAAAGGUAGUUUUGUAUUUUAAACGGAGGAGGGGAAAAACACGAUACACGAGGGCUGUUCCCACGGGUGGGUGGGAGUGGAAAAGCAGUUCCCAUUCGCGUCGCCCGCACAUACCAUCCCUGCUCCCUCCCCGUCGGGGCCACGCGUGGCACGGAGCUGCCCGAAGGGAUAACGUUGGGGGCACUCCAAAGGGGAUGUGGGGGGAAAUCCCGGGGGAAAGUGGCCUCCUGCAACCCCUUUUUUUUCUGUCGCGGGUCCUCGAGGGAGGCUGCUGGGAUGCUGGGGGAGAAGUUCGUGGGACCUCACCUAGAGAAGGGGUUGGAGGGGUUUCCCCAUGGGUUUUCCCCGUGCCGGGGGUUAAGAGAGGGGGGAGCGCGACCCGCACAGCCCCCGCUUUGGGGGAAUGGGGCUGAGAAAUUUCCAACACAUUUCUAAACGCAACGAAAAAAGCCGCUGGGACGGCGCCGGUGGCGGCAGCCGCAAAGUCUCCGACCCCGCCGGCCUCGUCCAGCUGGUCCCCCUCCGCGCUGAUUGGGCGCCUAGCCGCGCUGUGAACGCCCUGCCACUAUGUCAGCCCGCUCGCCGCAGCCCCUCGCCUUUGAACUGCCCCGCGCCGCUCCGCGUCCCCACCGCCGGCCCGCAGCUGUGCCCGGCGGCUCGCCGCC
ensembl:lncRNA